UACGUAGGGGGCAAGCGUUGUCCGGAUUUAUUGGGCGUAAAGAGCGUGUAGGCGGCUAGGUAGGUGGGUUGUGAAAACUGGAGGCUCAACCUUCAGACGUCGACCCAAACCCCCUGGCUAGAGUCCGGAAGAGGAGAGUGGAAUUCCUAGUGUAGCGGUGAAAUGCGCAGAUAUCAGGAAGAACACCCGUGGCGAAGGCGGCUCUCUGGGACGGUACUGACGCUGAGACGCGAAAGCGUGGGGAGCGAACAGG
rnacentral:rRNA from 1 species